rnacentral:rRNA from 1 species
GUGCCAGCCGCCGCGGUAAUACGUAGGUGGCAAGCGUUGUCCGGAUUUAUUGGGCGUAAAGCGAGCGCAGGCGGUUUCUUAAGUCUGAUGUGAAAGCCUUCGGCUCAACCGAAGAAGUGCAUCGGAAACUGGGAAACUUGAGUGCAGAAGAGGACAGUGGAACUCCAUGUGUAGCGGUGAAAUGCGUAGAUAUAUGGAAGAACACCAGUGGCGAAGGCGGCUGUCUGGUCUGUAACUGACGCUGAGGCUCGAAAGCAUGGGUAGCAAACAGGAUUAGAUACCCUGGUAGUCCAUGCCGUAAACGAUGAGUGCUAGGUGUUGGAGGGUUUCCGCCCUUCAGUGCCGCAGCUAACGCAUUAAGCACUCCGCCUGGGGAGUACGACCGCAAGGUUGAAACUCAAAGGAAUUGACGGGGGCCCGCACAAGCGGUGGAGCAUGUGGUUUAAUUCGAAGCAACGCGAAGAACCUUACCAGGUCUUGACAUCCUUUGACCACUCUAGAGAUAGAGCUUUCCCUUCGGGGACAAAGUGACAGGUGGUGCAUGGUUGUCGUCAGCUCGUGUCGUGAGAUGUUGGGUUAAGUCCCGCAACGAGCGCAACCCUUAUUACUAGUUGCCAGCAUUUAGUUGGGCACUCUAGUGAGACUGCCGGUGACAAACCGGAGGAAGGUGGGGACGACGUCAAAUCAUCAUGCCCCUUAUGACCUGGGCUACACACGUGCUACAAUGGAUGGUACAACGAGUCGCGAGACCGCGAGGUUUAGCUAAUCUCUUAAAACCAUUCUCAGUUCGGAUUGUAGGCUGCAACUCGCCUACAUGAAGCCGGAAUCGCUAGUAAUCGCGGAUCAGCAUGCCGCGGUGAAUACGUUCCCGGGCCUUGUACACACCGCCCGU